rnacentral:rRNA from 1 species
AGAAUCAACGCUGGCGGCGUGCCUAACACAUGCAAGUCGAACGAGAAAGUGGAGCAAUCCAUGAGUAAAGUGGCGCACGGGUGAGUAACACGUGACUAACCUACCCUUGAGUGGGGGAUAACCUAGGGAAACCUGGGCUAAUACCGCAUAAUACCUUCGGGUCAAAGGAGCAAUUCGCUUAAGGAGGGGGUCGCGGCCGAUUAGUUAGUUGGCGGGGUAAUGGCCCACCAAGACUGUGAUCGGUAUCCGGCCUGAGAGGGCGCACGGACACACUGGAACUGAAACACGGUCCAGACUCCUACGGGAGGCAGCAGUGGGGAAUUUUGCGCAAUGGGGGAAACCCUGACGCAGCAACGCCGCGUGGAGGAUGAAGUCCCUUGGGACGUAAACUCCUUUCGAUCGGGACAUUAUGACGGUACCGGAAGAAGAAGCCCCGGCUAACUUCGUGCCAGCAGCCGC